rnacentral:rRNA from 1 species
CCUACGGGAUGCAGCAGUGGGGAAUAUUGGGCAAUGGGCGCAAGCCUGACCCAGCAACGCCGCGUGAAGGAAGAAGGCUUUUUGGUUGUAAACUUCUUUUGUCAGGGAAGAGUAGAAGACGGUACCUGACGAAUAAGCCACGGCUAACUACGUGCAAGCAGCCGAGGUAAUACGUAGGUGGCAAGCGUUGUCCGGAUUUACUGGGUGUAAAGGGCGUGUAGCCGGGUUGACAAGUUAGAGGUGAAAUCCUGCGGCUUAACCGCAGAACUGCAUUUGAGACUGUUGAUCUUUAGUACUGGAGAGGCAGAUGGAAUUCCUGGGGUAGCGGUGAAAUGCGUAGAUAUUA